rnacentral:rRNA from 1 species
GAUGAACGCUAGCUACAGGGCUUAACACAUGCAAGUCGAGGGGCAGCAUGAAAGGAACUUCGGUUCUUUUUGAUGGCGACCGGCGCACGGGUGCGUAACGCGUAUCGAACCUGCCUCAUACUCGGGGAUAGCCUUGCGAAAGUAAGAUUAAUACCCGGCGGUCUCGGAUGGCCGCAUGACUGUCCGAGUGAAGAUUUAUCGGUAUGAGAUGGCGAUGCGUCCCAUUAGCUUGUUGGUGGGGUAACGGCUCACCAAGGCAUCGAUGGGUAGGGGUUCUGAGAGGAAGGUCCCCCACAUUGGAACUGAGACACGGUCCAAACUCCUACGGGAGGCAGCAGUGAGGAAUAUUGGUCAAUGGACGAAAGUCUGAACCAGCCAAGUAGCGUGCAGGAAGACGGCCCUCUGGGUUGUAAACUGCUUUUAGUUGGGAAUAAAAAGAGGGACGUGUCCCUUAUUGUAUGUACCAUCAGAAAAAGGACCGGCUAAUUCCGUGCCAGCAGCCGCGGUAAUACGGAAGGUCCAGGCGUUAUCCGGAUUUAUUGGGUUUAAAGGGAGCGCAGGCGGCGGCGUAAGUCAGUUGUGAAAUCGUGCGGCUUAACCGUGCAAUUGCAGUUGAUACUGCGUCGCUUGAGUGCACACAGGGAUGUUGGAAUUCAUGGUGUAGCGGUGAAAUGCUUAGAUAUCAUGAAGAACUCCGAUCGCGAAGGCAUAUGUCCGGAGUGCAACUGACGCUGAGGCUCGAAAGUGUGGGUAUCAAACAGG